UACGUAGGGGGCUAGCGUUGUCCGGAAUCAUUGGGCGUAAAGCGCGCGUAGGCGGCCCGGUAAGUCCGCUGUGAAAGUCCAGGGCUCAACCCUGGAAAGCCGGUGGAUACUGCCGGGCUAGAGUCCGGGAGAGGCGAGUGGAAUUCCUGGUGUAGCGGUGGAAAUGCGCAGAUAUCAGGAAGAACACCCGUGGCGAAGGCGGCUCUCUGGGACGGUACUGACGCUGAGACGCGAAAGCGUGGGGAGCAAACGGG
rnacentral:rRNA from 1 species